GCUGAGACUAGAGGACUGCUUGAGCCCAGGAGUUCUGGGCCGUGGGGCACUGCCCGAUGGGGUGUCUGCACUAAGUUCCGCGUCAGUAUGGUGACCUUCCAGGAGCGGAGAACCACCAGGUUGCCUAAGGAGGGGUGAACCGGCCCAGGUCAGAAAUGGAGCAGGUCAGAACUCCCAUGCUGAUCAAAACUUGCUUACUUAUAAAUAUUAAGUAUCAUGAU
rnacentral:sRNA from 1 species